rnacentral:rRNA from 1 species
CUACGUGCCAGCAGCCGCGGUAAUACGUAGGUGGCAAGCGUUGUCCGGAAUUAUUGGGCGUAAAGCGCGCGCAGGCGGAUUGGUCAGUCUGUCUUAAAAGUUCGGGGCUUAACCCCGUGAUGGGAUGGAAACUGCCAAUCUAGAGUAUCGGAGAGGAAAGUGGAAUUCCUAGUGUAGCGGUGAAAUGCGUAGAUAUUAGGAAGAACACCAGUGGCGAAGGCGACUUUCUGGACGAAAACUGACGCUGAGGCGCGAAAGCCAGGGGAGCGAACGGGAUUAGAUACCCCGGUAGUCCACGCCGUAAACGAUGAGUGCUAGGUGUUAGACCCUUUCCGGGGUUUAGUGCCGCAGCUAACGCAUUAAGCACUCCGCCUGGGGAGUACGACCGCAAGGUUGAAACUCAAAGGAAUUGACGGGGGCCCGCACAAGCGGUGGAGCAUGUGGUUUAAUUCGAAGCAACGCGAAGAACCUUACCAGGUCUUGACAUCCCUCUGACCGCUCUAGAGAUAGAGCUUUC